rnacentral:rRNA from 1 species
GAGGAAGUAAAAGUCGUAACAAGGUUUUGUUAAAGAGAUCCUUCUUUGAAGCCUUCACACAGAGACUAUAACCAUGUGUGUAGUCUAGACUCGGUUGAGUCUGGGCGACGUCACCCCUAUGCUGGGACCCUAUAGCUACUAUAGCGGACCAGCAGCCAGGCUUUCCUGGUUCACAGAUUAGGUGGUGGCGGUCUCUAGCAUUGGUGCUGGGAUCAAGAUAUAAUCGGUCUCCGUAGUUUGUGGCUACGGUUGAGAAACGUUCCGUAGGUGAACCUGCGGAAGGAUCAUUA